UAGGGAAUAUUGGACAAUGGGGGCAACCCUGAUCCAGCCAUGCCGCGUGAGUGAAGAAGGCCCUCGGGUUGUAAAGCUCUUUUGUCCGGAAAGAAAAGCUUCGGGUUAAUACCCCGGGGUUCUGACGGUACCGGAAGAAUAAGCACCGGCUAACUUCGUGCCAGCAGCCGCGGUAAUACGAAGGGUGCAAGCGUUACUCGGAAUUACUGGGCGUAAAGCGUGCGUAGGUGGUUGUUUAAGUCUGAUGUGAAAGCCCUGGGCUCAACCUGGGAAUGGCAUUGGAAACUGGGCAGCUAGAGUGCGGUAGAGGGUAGUGGAAUUCCCGGUGUAGCAGUGAAAUGCGUAGAGAUCGGGAGGAACAUCUGUGGCGAAGGCGACUGCCUGGACCAGCACUGACACGGAGGCACGAAAGCGUGGGGAGCAAACA
rnacentral:rRNA from 1 species